ACCUUCCUUUUGUGGUCAUAAACCUUGUGUCAAAAUUUCAUAGAUUUCUAUUCACUUAAACUAAAUUUAUAGUGCGAAAACCAAGGAAAUGCUUAUUUGGGCCCUUUUUGGCCCCUAAUUCCUAAAAUGUUGGGACCAAAACUCCAAAAAUCAAUCCCAACCUUCCUUUUGUGGUCAUAAACCUUGUGUUAAAAUUUCAUUGAUUUCUAUUCACUUUUAUUAAAGUUAGAGUGCGAAAACUAAAAGUAUU
rnacentral:lncRNA from 1 species